UCUUUUGUGGUGUAACGGUAGCAAACUCGGCUCGUAUUCGAGAGGUCUAGGCUCGAGUCCCGGCGAGGGUA
rnacentral:tRNA from 1 species